AUCCAACUGACAAGUGGCAAAUAGAACGAGACGUGCGUCCUGGAU
rnacentral:hammerhead_ribozyme from 1 species